rnacentral:lncRNA from 1 species
AAAAACCCAAAACUUCAAAUGUAAAUAAAAGGAUGUCCAGUUCACCAGAAGAAAAUCAAACUUUCAGAAACAGGUGGCCACUCCGAAUUCCCUCACAGCUCCAAGCCCACUAUGGUUGGGGAUUACCUGCGUGGAUGAAAAUAAAAGGGGUGAGUUUGGGGAAACUCAGUGUGUAAAUUAAUCUGUUUGACUAAUCUGACCACUCUUCAUUACGAAUCAAAUUUCUCAUUGUACAGAAUUCAAAAUAUGUUCUUGUUUAUUUCAUUAGAAACUAGACUCAAUAAGCUUUAAUUACAUAAUUUAUUCAGCUUCUAAUUCAUCUCCCACAAUUUAUGGUGAUUUUCCAAAGUCACGUUACUGCUGCUGUCCCAAGCAGAUUUAUUACCAAAUCACUCUUUCACACAUACCUUGCAUGCAUGUUAUUUAAACAUGUAUAUCACCAAUCAAUCAUCACAUAUCUAUGAUUUUACUUAAGUAUAAUCUCCAUUUCAUCAUUUUAAAGCACAACAUGUUAGCUGAUUUUUCCCUUUAACAUCUAAGGCACAUGCAUGCUCAUUUGUUUGGCUCAACUUUACCUAUCUUCCAUUUUUCAUCAAAAGAACAUGAAACAACAACCAUUUCCUUCAUUUUAAUUCAUGACUAAAUGCUCACAACACAACUAAAAAUCAAAAUAUACUUCAAGAGUUAAGGUAGAAUCAAGAAGAACUCAUGAACCUCAAAAUAGAAGCAAGGUACCAAGAACUUACCUUCAAUUUUCCUCCUCCUAAUGAUCAAAUACUCAAGAGCUUUCUCCUCUCCUUUCUCUUCUCUAACUUUCGGCUAUGAUGAACAAAGAUGAACAAAACUUUGUUCUUUUCACCCCUUUUUCUUUUAAUAAAAC